rnacentral:rRNA from 1 species
CAGUCGCCGCGGUAAUACGAAGGGGGCUAGCGUUGCUCGGAAUGACUGGGCGUAAAGGGCGCGUAGGCGGUUUAUACAGUCAGAUGUGAAAUUCCUGGGCUCAACCUGGGGACUGCAUUUGAUACGUAUGGACUUGAGUGGAGAAGAGGGUCGUGGAAUUUCCAGUGUAGAGGUGAAAUUCGUAGAUAUUGGAAAGAACACCGGUGGCGAAGGCGGCGACCUGGUCUUUAACUGACGCUGAGGCGCGAAAGCGUGGGGAGCAAACAGGAUUAGAUACCCCCGUAGUCCCUGUCUCUUAUAC